rnacentral:rRNA from 1 species
UACGUAGGGUGCAAGCGUUGUCCGGAAUUAUUGGGCGUAAAGAGCUCGUAGGCGGUUUGUUGCGUCGAAUGUGAAAACCCGGGGCUCAACCCCGGGCCUGCAUUCGAUACGGGCAGACUAGAGUUCGGUAGGGGAGUCUGGAAUUCCUGGUGUAGCGGUGAAAUGCGCAGAUAUCAGGAGGAACACCGGUGGCGAAGGCGGGGCUCUGGGCAGUAACUGACGCUGAGGAGCGAAAGCGUGGGGAGCGAACAGG